CGAAUGGUAUUUUUGGAUACACUUGGAAGUCCUCGUAUUAGAUGCAAUAUCUCAUCUUUGGUCGAAGUUUAAGUGCUUUAUAAACCUAAAGUCCAUUCCACGAAACGAGAUCCCACUGAAAAUUGCGUACGCCGGAUUCGUCUCGCUUAUCUGUGAGCGCGCGCGUCGGCCGAUGAGAUUCGCUGUCCAGUAAAUCGAAUCGUGGAAUGUUAUGUAAUCUGUCACGUGAGUUUUUCGCGCCUUAGAUUUUUUUUUUAAAUAAAACCUUUUUCGUUUCGUCAGAUUUAUUUCGUAGUACUAAAGUGGGUAUAUUUUCUGUACAUAUUCAGUUGUAGUGUAUGUUGCUGUAUAGACAGGUUAUCGCAUAAUACUCGUUUGAUAUCAAAGUCAUCAAUAUUAUAAGUUUCUCACUGUUAUUAUAAAAUAAAAUAUUUUAAUGAA